CUAUCUGUUUUGUAGAUUCUCCUCUCUUCCUGUAACCCAAAUUUCCCUCUGUAGACCAUGCCCUGUCAUGCCUUCCCAGUCGUCCUUUAUCUUAGCGAACGAUCAAAGGAAGAGGAGAUCGAGGAACGUAUCGAAGUGAAUCUGUCUCAAAGCUUUACUGAUACCAAGGAGCAAUUAUUAAGGAAUGUAUUAGGAAAGGUCGACCAAGCCAUGCGUAUGACUGACCCUCUCCAGCAGGUUCAAGUGCCCCAGUGCAGGUCUGUUCCAAAGUGGGUUUGGGAUGGAGGGGGAGGGGAAAGUGCUCUAUUGGACAGUCCCCUGGGACAGGAGGCUUCUAGCACAGAGAGGCAAGAGGCCUGCGGGACCCCUGUUCAAAUUCACAUGCCUUAAAGGGUCUAUCUGUCAACUACAACUCCCACACUAGGGUGAAUGUGACUUCCUGUCUGUAGCCCAUGUGAUGGAUAACCGAAAAAACAUGUUCAUAUUAAACAUCAAUGGAUUCUCUGCUUAUGGCAUCGUCAGGGAAGAUGACUCACCCACUGUCCCUAUACGUGCACUUAUCUUGUUAUUCUACAAACUCCCAGUUGUUCCUAAGAAGAGGUCCAUCCUUAAUGUGUUGUUGCUUCCCAGAAAUGUUAUGAUCAGGGAGGUGAAUAGAUUAGAGGUGUCAACCAAUACGUUGGCUGGAAUUUGCAUGUUUUGGUAACAUUAAUACUUGGAUAAUGUGUUAUAGUUUAAACAUUGGAUAACAAAAUGUUAUUUUAUGAAAACAUUCAAAGGUACAGGAGGAGUGGAAGAGAAGGAAUGGAGACCAAGAAACCUGCAUUGAAACUAACGCUCACUGCCAACUAAUCCCAAAGCAACAAUACACCCUCUCCACUGAUCUUACAGAUGAUCAUCAAAUAAGACCAAAGGUGAUAUCUGAUAUGAGAAUGAAAAUGUAUUUGCACAUUCAAAUUAUAUAACUGACGAACUGUAUUUUACACCUGGAUGCAGCAUUUGAAAACUACGAAAACUAUGAAAACUACAUCCCAACAUUUCAGUUGUUCUUACAAACUGUUGUUGAACAAGUUGAUCUUCUCCUGAAAGAAAAUGAUGGUGCAGAGUCUGUGUGGGAUAGACUUGUCUGGCUUCCAGGUAACACAAUGUUGCUGUACUAGUAUUGCAGUUGUUGUUAUUGAAUUAGUACAUCUUUAUAUCAUAAGUUUUGGUUAUAAUGGACGCAGUCUUAUAUCACCGUUAAUCAGACGGUCUUAUUUUCUCAUUCGCAGUUUCACCAACAGAAAUCAUCUCUACAGGUAACUUGAUAUUCCACUGAGAUUUACCAUUUUAAACAUCACAAUUUAAUGAUAUUACAAUGAUAAACAAAGACAUUAUGGAAUUAAAGAAAUCUGAUUCGUAGUGCUGCUCCUGUGUAGUAAAAAUAAUAUUGACUUGAGGUCAUAAUUUAUCUUCAAAGUCUUGCAUACAUCUUGAUUUAAUCAUCCUAAACUGUAUUUUACAAAUAGUGUUUUCCCUCUCUCAGCGUCCGGCCCUGCCCUGUAGCCCCUCCUGCCAAUCCUCCUACUCUCUCAGGAGGGGACUUCAUAACAAAACACAGAGUGAAACUGGAGGAACGCAUGGGUGAAUUGCAGCCCACACUCCUCAAGCUUCAGGACUGUAACGUACUGAACGAUGUGGAGCGCUGAGAAGAUUGACAACAUGAGUUCACGGAUCCAGAGGAACAAGGCCCUUCUGGACAUGAUUGUGAGGAAGGGACCUCGUGCACAGGAACAGCUCUACCAGGCCCUAAAUAAAGAGGACCCUUACCUGGUGGAACACCUGGAAGAGGAGACAUCCUGACCAUAGAUUUGUGUGUAAGGUUAUUCAACGGUUGUGCCCAAAAUGACUACAACAUGUAUAUGGACCAGGAGCCAAGAGAUCAGGACAGGCUUGCUACACAGGUUCACUGGCUGCAAACAGCAAGCUUCAGGACUUUGCUAUUUAAUGGCAUUAUAUAUGUUUUAAUCUCUGUAUAAAAUACAUAUGUAGAUAGUAAGUAUAUAUUUACAAGCCUUUUUACAUUUUCAUGUCAGUAUUUUAUACAUACAGAUUUAUGCAUCAGUCAUUUCUAUAGAUGUUCAAUGUCGCUGGAAUUUCUGUCCGGCACACUUGUGUUUUUAUUGGUCUCAUACUGUGAUGGAGAGAUGCUUGUAUAAAAGUUGCGUCAUUCUUGUCCAUAUAGAAUGUACUGUAUGAAAAUGACCAUAUGCCAUUCAACAGACUAGGCCUGGCUAUAUCUGUGGACCAGAGAUCCAUGCUAAGUGGUGACAGGCACCCUGUUCUACAAAAACAAAAAAUACAAUAACAGUGUGAGGUCAAUGUUCCGUGUUCAUAAUGCUCAAUAGUGUAAAGUUAUAUUACAUUUGAUCUGAGCUACUCCACCUGUGUCAAAACAUCCUGGGUGUGUCAUGUUUCCAUUGAAUAGCAGCUCUAUCCUAGCACGUCGUCCCUCGUUCCAAAAAACAGUUCACACAUUGAUGAGCCGCUUCCGGACCACAGAUUAAAAGGGCUCUGUUCAAUUGUCGUCGCAGAAAUGGAUCUUUACAGCGUGAUUGACAUUUUAAGGAAGUGUUCCCGCUUUUGUGGAGGCCGCAUUCACGGUAAACGCUGCAUAUGUUGGCUCAAUCGGAAAUGACCUUUACAUUUCUAUCAAAAUGUUAUUCGUCACAUGCUUCGUAAUGAACAGGUGUAGACUAACAGUGAAAUGCUUCCUUGCAGGCCCUUCCCAACAAUGUAGAGAGAAAGAAAAUAGAAAAGUUAUAACACAUAAUAAUAAAAGUAAAAAUAAAUACACAAUGAGUAACGAUAACUUGCCUAAAUACACAGGCACCAGGGCCGAGCCCAUGUGCAAGGGUACGAGGUAAUUGAGGUAGGUACAGUGCCUUCAGAAAGUAUCACACCCCUUGACUUUUUCCAUCUUUUAUUGUGGUACAGCCUGAAUUUUUUUUUAUGGAUUAAAUGUUAAUUUUCUGGCACUGGCCUACACACAAUACCCCAAUGUCAAAGUGGAAUUUUUAUAAAUGAAUUAAAAAUGAAAAGCUGAAAUGUCUUGAGUCAAUAAGUAUUCAACCCCAAUGUUCUGGAAAGCCUAAAUAAGUUCUGGAGUAAAGAUUUGCUUAACAAGUCAUAUAAUAAGUUGCUGACAUUGAAUAUCCCUUUGAGCAUGGUGAAGUUAUUAAUUACACUUUGGAUGGUGUAUCAAUACACCGUCACUACAAAGAUACAAGCGUCCUUCCUUACUCAGUUGCCGGAGAGGAAGGAAACCGCUCAGGGAUUUCACCAUGAGGACAAUGGUGACUUUAAAACUGUUACAGAGUUUAAUAGCUGUGAUAGAAAACUGAGGAUGGAUCAACAGCAUUGUAGUUACUCCACAAUACUAACCUAAUUGAUAGA
ensembl:lncRNA